rnacentral:rRNA from 1 species
CAGCAGUAGCCACGGUAAUACGUAGGGUGCAAGCGUUAAUCGGAAUUACUGGGCGUAAAGCGUGCGCAGGCGGUUAUAUAAGACAGAUGUGAAAUCCCCGGGCUCAACCUGGGAACUGCAUUUGUGACUGUAUAGCUAGAGUACGGCAGAGGGGGAUGGAAUUCCGCGUGUAGCAGUGAAAUGCGUAGAUAUGCGGAGGAACACCGAUGGCGAAGGCAAUCCCCUGGGCCUGUACUGACGCUCAUGCACGAAAGCGUGGGGAGCAAACAGGAUUAGAUACCCGGGUAGUCCCUGUCUCUUAUAC